rnacentral:rRNA from 1 species
GGAGACUGCCGGUGAUAAACCGGAGGAAGGUGGGGACGACGUCAAGUCAUCAUGGCCCUUACGAGUAGGGCUACACACGUGCUACAAUGGCGCAUACAGAGGGCAGCCAACUUGCGAAAGUGAGCGAUCCCAAAAAAGUGCGUCGUAGUCCGGAUUGGAGUCUGCAACUCGACACGAUGAGGUCGCAAUCCCAAGUAAUCGUGGAU